rnacentral:rRNA from 1 species
UACGUAGGGGGCGAGCGUUAUCCGGAAUUAUUGGGCGUAAAGAGUACGUAGGUGGUCGUAUAAGCGCAAGGUGAAAGACCGGGGCUUAACUCCGGUGAGCCUUGUGAACUGUAUGACUUGAGUGCAGGAGGGGAAAGUGGAAUUCCUGGUGUAGCGGUGAAAUGCGCAGAUAUCAGGAGGAACACCGGUGGCGAAGGCGACUUUCUGGACUGUAACUGACACUGAGGUACGAAAGCGUGGGUAGC